CAGUAGCCGCGGGAAGACGGAGGGUGCUAGCGUUGUUCGGAAUCACUGGGCGUAAAGGGCGCGUAGGCGGCCUGUUAAGUCGGAUGUGAAAGCCCGGGGCUCAACCCCGGAACUGCAUCCGAGACUGGCAGGCUUGAGACCGGGAGAGGAGGGUGGAAUAUCCAGUGUAGAGGUGAAAUUCGUAGAUAUUGGAUGGAACACCGGUGGCGAAAGCGGCUCUCUGGCCCGGAUCUGACGCUGAGGCGCGAAAGCGUGGGGAGCAAACAGGAUUAGAUACCCCGGUAGUCCCUGUCUCUUAUAA
rnacentral:rRNA from 1 species